GACGAACGCUGGCGGCGUGCCUAAUACAUGCAAGUAGAACGCUGAAGGAGGAGCUUGCUUCUCCGGAUGAGUUGCGAACGGGUGAGUAACGCGUAGGUAACCUGCCUGGUAGCGGGGGAUAACUAUUGGAAACGAUAGCUAAUACCGCAUAAGAGUAGAUGUCGCAUGACAUUUGCUUAAAAGGUGCAACUGCACCACUACCAGAUGGACCUGCGUUGUAUUAGCUAGUUGGUGAGGUAACGGCUCACCAAGGCAACGAUACAUAGCCGACCUGAGAGGGUGAUCGGCCACACUGGGACUGAGACACGGCCCAGACUCCUACGGGAGGCAGCAGUAGGGAAUCUUCGGCAAUGGACGGAAGUCUGACCGAGCAACGCCGCGUGAGUGAAGAAGGUUUUCGGAUCGUAAAGCUCUGUUGUAAGAGAAGAACGAGUGUGAGUGUGGAAAGUUCACACUGUGACGGUAUCUUACCAGAAAGGGACGGCUAACUACGUG
rnacentral:rRNA from 1 species